ACGGGGACGUGGCAGGUCAGACAAGACUCUUGCUGACGCUGAGGGGAACAGUGAGAAGAAGGCUGAAGAGUUGCCACAGGUUUCUGCCAAGGUCAUUGCUUGCUAUAGCAGGAGGGGACGCAUGCGUGGAAGGGGACUGGACAC